rnacentral:rRNA from 1 species
AUUGAACGCUGGCGGCAUGCCCUACACAUGCAAGUCGAACGGCAGCACGGGAGCGAUCCUGGUGGCGAGUGGCGAACGGGUGAGUAAAGUAUCGGAACGUGCCCAGUCGUGGGGGAUAACGUAGCGAAAGUUACGCUAAUACCGCAUACGAUCUAUGGAUGAAAGCGGGGGAUCGCAAGACCUCGCGCGAUUGGAGCGGCCGAUAUCAGAUUAGGUAGUUGGUGGGGUAAAGGCUCACCAAGCCGACGAUCUGUAGCUGGUCUGAGAGGACGACCAGCCACACUGGGACUGAGACACGGCCCAGACUCCUACGGGAGGCAGCAGUGGGGAAUUUUGGACAAUGGGCGAAAGCCUGAUCCAGCCAUGCCGCGUGCAGGAUGAAGGCCUUCGGGUUGUAAACUGCUUUUGUACGGAACGAAAAGGUUUGGGCUAAUAAGCUGAGCUCAUGACGGUACCGUAAGAAUAAGCACCGGCUAACUACGUGCCAGCCGCCACGGUAA